rfam:Brachypodium distachyon strain Bd21 chromosome 4, whole genome shotgun sequence.
AGAGUACUUCCUCCAUUCAACAAAAAAUGUCUCAAGUUUAUUAAAAUUUGGAUGUAUUUAGACAUGACUUAGGGUAAGUGUAUAGAUGCAUUGAAAUUUAGUCAAAGUUACGACAUCUUUUGUUGGACGGAGGGAGUAUAAU